rnacentral:lncRNA from 12 species
AGUCCUAAAUCACUGAAGAAAAAAGUUAAAAAUCUGGAUGCUCAUUAAGAUUACUUAACCUACAUUUGUAAAUACAUUUUCCGUGUUGCAGCUUCCGAUGCUUUCAUGUAGAGAGGACACUCAGGCAGUGAGAGCACCCAUGUGAGCAGGGCUCACCUCCCAGAGCGCGGCCGACCGAGGACAGGGCCCUGGGCAGCAGGGCGGCUAUUACAUAAUCGCACACGCGCAGCGCACACAGCACUUCUGAAACCACAGAGGCCAAACCACAGUGGAAAAUUCAGCUACUCUGGAAAGAAAUAGCAAGAUAAUAUUCUGCAAACUUUCCUACUCUGAUAUGCAUUCUUCUUAGGUGGCCUAUAUUUCUAGUGCUUUCUAGAGCCCACAUGGUUAGGGAGGAGGGAGGCUCUAUGAAGAGACGUGUGCAGUCAUCAUGUCACCAUGGCUAAAACCGAGGACAGAUGCUGCAUCUGAUGCCACACUUGGUGGGCAAGCAGCAGGAGUCCAGGCAGUGAGACCUGGGGAAGGCUGCGUGUUUGGUCUCACACACAGGCUGUCAGUAAUAGUGAGGUAUUAAUGCAUCUCCCAGGACUGAAGAUGCACGACUCCUUUUUCAAUGCACAGGUAAACCCCUGAGAAUUCUGAAGAUCUUCAUCGACUCAGUUUCUGAGGAUCACUUGGGUUCGGGAGCAGACGCCACCUGCCAAAACAGCCUGUUAAGCAUACCCAUGUAUGCCCCCCCACCCACCUCCAGAGUCCAGGGUUCUCAGGGCUGGAGAGAACCUGCUGGACUUGGUGUCCUGGACCAAGUCCCUGGGGAGAUGACGGUACUGUGUCUGCAGCUACCCGCAAGGACGGCGCAUGCUGGCUCCACCUGGGCAUGUAAUCCCUCGGCCCACCAGACCAAAGCCCUCUCCCUUGGCGCAGAGUACAAGCAAAGAAAAGAAGUCAAGCUCCGGUUUUGAAGGAAUUACAUGUCAGAACAUCACCCUUAGGUAGACAGACUGACAUCUAUUGUUUCCGUGGGAAUAAGUGCCGAAGUGUAGGGAGCCACAAGGGCCAGCCUCCACAGGCCUGGGUGUCAUCCUUGGGACUGUCCCCAGUAUGCUGUCACAGUCUCCUGGGAGAUCACGGACCACUGUGAACGGUCGUUCCCUAAACCCUACUGGGAUCCAACUGGAGUCACCCGGUCCGCAGGAACCUCAGCAGCUCCGCAUGUGGCCACUUCAGCAAGGUGCAAGACCAACCCAGGGGUGCUCCGAGUCACUUCCGACACUACCACAUCCAGGUCCGCCCUGAAACAGGUGAGCUGGCCAAAGAAAGGGAUGCCCUCGGGGUUCGCUGCUGGCCAGCAGAAACAGAGAAAGGUGGGCUGUGUUCUCUGAAGAGCUGUGAGGUGGGAGGUCACCAACAUCCUCUAGAAAAAGCUCAGGGUGAGGCACAGUUCACUUUCCUGAUUUCCCUUCCUUCCCCUGCCUCUCCUCCUACCUCCCUCCCUCACUUUAUAGUUUCAGGUACUUCAAAAGGUCCCAAAUUAUAUAAGCAAGAAUUGUAACAGAUCGUUCUUGUGUUUGUAACAGGUAGAGAGGUAAUAAGUGUAACAAUAAUAGCACAAAAAUAAGAGGAGAGGAAAUAGAGUUCUCUAGGAGAAACGUUUCCAUCCUUACGAUCAGUUAAGAAGUACACCAUGAGCCCUAGAGCAACCACUAAGAGAGCACUUUAAAAAUACGGUGAGGACACACAGGAAAGUUGUGGAGAGUAAAACAGAAGAGUUCUCAUCAUAGGGAGAAGUCUUUGUUCUUUUCCUUUAUUGUAUCUAUGGGAGAAGAUGGUUGUUAGCUGAACCUGCUGUGACCACCUCACAAUAUGUAGAUACGUCAAACCAUUAUGCUGCACACCUUAAAAUUACAUUAUCCUCAAUAAGAUUGGGAAAAUAUAGUGAAAAAGUAAGGAGUUAAAAAUGUUACACUAGAAAACACUUAUUGCAAAAGAAAGCAGUUAAGGAAAGGAGAAAAAAGAUAUGAGACAUAUACUAAACAAAAAUUAAAGCUGCCAACAUAAAUCUAAACUAUUUCAAUAGUAACACUAAAUGUGAAUGCAUCAAACAAUAUAGUCAAAAGGUAGAGGUUACCAGACUGUAUUUUUUUUCUUGGUCUUUUACCAUAAUUUUACAGCUUUUGGAGAGAAUGUGAAUGAUCAGUCGCUUGACAAUCUGAAAGAUCAAUCACUUGACAAUCUUUCCCAGCAUCCAGAAAACAUCAAAAAAUCCACCUAUUGCUACCUACAGGAGACAAAUUUAUUUAGAUUGUAAGAUGCAAGCAAGUUGAAAGGAACACCAGCAUGCAAACAGCCACCAUAAGAGCCAGAAUGGCUAUACAAACAUCAGGCAAAAUGGCUUUAAAACAAAACAAAACAGGCACACCUCAGUGACUCAGUGGUUGAGCAUCUGCCUUUGGCUUGGGCUGUGAUCCCAAGGUCCUGGGAUUGAGUCCCACAUCAGACUCCUUGCAGGGAGCCUGCUUCUCCCUCUGCCUGUGUCUCUGCCUCUCUCUGUGUGUCUCUCAUAAAUAAAUCAAUAAAAUCUUUAAAAAUAAAUAAAUAA